UACGGAGGGUGCGAGCGUUGUCCGGAAUCAUUGGGCGUAAAGCGAGUGUAGGUGGUUGUCCAAGUUGGAUGUGAAAGCCUUGAGCUCAACUCAAGAAAUGCAUUCAGGACUGGAUGGCUAGAGGACCGGAGAGGAUAGUGGAAUUCCCAGUGUAGUGGUGAAAUACGUAGAGAUUGGGAAGAACACCAGUGGCGAAGGCGGCUAUCUGGACGGUUUCUGACACUAAGACUCGAAAGCGUGGGGAGCAAACAGG
rnacentral:rRNA from 1 species